UACGUAGGGUGCAAGCGUUAAUCGGAAUUACUGGGCGUAAAGCGUGCGCAGGCGGUUUUGUAAGUCUGUCGUGAAAUCCCCGGGCUCAACCUGGGAAUUGCGAUGGAGACUGCAAGGCUAGAAUCUGGCAGAGGGGGUAGAAUUCCACGUGUGAGCAGUGAAAUGCGUAGAGAUGUGGAGGAACACCGAUGGCGAAGGCAGCCCCUGGGUCAAGAUUGACGCUCAUGCACGAAAGCGUGGGAGCAAACGAGGAUACGAACGGGUAGUCCA
rnacentral:rRNA from 1 species